rnacentral:rRNA from 1 species
AACGAACGCUGGCGGCAUGCCUAACACAUGCAAGUCGAACGAGACCUUCGGGUCUAGUGGCGCACGGGUGCGUAACGCGUGGGAACCUGCCCUUAGGUUCGGAAUAACUCCCCGAAAGGGGUGCUAAUACCGGAUAAUGUCGUCGGACCAAAGAUUUAUCGCCUUUGGAUGGGCCCGCGUUGGAUUAGCUAGUUGGUAGGGUAAAAGCCUACCAAGGCGACGAUCCAUAGCUGGUCUGAGAGGAUGAUCAGCCACACUGGGACUGAGACACGGCCCAGACUCCUACGGGAGGCAGCAGUGGGGAAUAUUGGACAAUGGGCGAAAGCCUGAUCCAGCAAUGCCGCGUGAGUGAUGAAGGCCUUAGGGUUGUAAAGCUCUUUUACCCGGGAUGAUAAUGACAGUACCGGGAGAAUAAGCGCCGGCUAACUCCGUG